UGGUAAAAUUUACAUAGGGUAAUCACCAGUUCUCCUGGAUACCUCGACGGACUCCCAGGCUAAACUCUGAUGGACGGUCAUUGGCGCUAAUCGGAUCUUUUCGAGGUUCUAGAUACCAGGGUCAUCAAAAAAAAAAAAAAUCAUCUCGAAACAAGUGAUUUUCUAUGUAAACUAUUGACUAUAUUCUUUAUUAAUUUUUCCAGUUAUAUAUUUUUCUUUCAGAAAUUGAUUUCCAGCAUUAAUUUGUUGCAGAAAAGGGGAAAGUUUAGGAAAUAAUGGUGGUUUUGGAGUAAAAAUGAUAAGAUGCUCAAGUGGUCACAUUGCGUCACAAUAAUGGAGUCGAGUCCCAAUGAUGCUAUCUAUAUUCGGCAGCAAAAACUGAUAAAAGUAUUGUUUUUCUUUCCGACUGGUUGGUCCUAGUCUAAUCAUGGAUUGUUUUGUCUAUAUUUCAACGAUGAAAAGUAUUUCUAAAACAAAUUAGAUCUUUAUAAUAAGGAAAAUUGUAUUAGACUACUAGAUUGAACCUUUGAAAAUUAGCAUAAAAGGUAGUGAGAUAGCACAACGAUAGAAAAUUACAAACUUUUUUAGGAGGAGAGUUAGUAGAAGAAACUAUCAACUAACAAAAGUCAUUCAACUAAAAUUACAAUUUUUUUUUGUCGUCAACAAACAGAUUCAUAUAGACUCUGCGAAUUAAAAUUAUAAUAUAAGUAUUCAAAUAACUGUAUAUAAUGUUUUGAACUUUUGACCUUUCCGCAGACAAUCAAAACUGUACAGUUUGAAAUAUGUAAAAACAAGGGACCCUAGAAACAAUAUAUAUCUUUCCUAAAAUAAGACAUGCUCGCUUUCCACCUCUGGACUCGGUGUUUACAGUGUUUAGAGGAAACGUAAUGGGAGAAGGCACCAGAUGACAAUUUACAGUGUUUAGAGGGAACAUAAUAGGAGAAGGCACCAGAAAUCUUGGUCGACAGCUGUUCAGGUUACUCGUUGCAUUGAUAGAACAAUGCGUAACCGUAUUUCUUCUCUUAAGUAUGGAAGAGAUCACAAGUUUGAAGAGCUUAUGCGGAGAUGGUUUGAAGUGACUCCUUAGUUUUCUUAAUUGCUCCAUAAAAAUUCUUUUUGGCCUUAUUAGUCUACAUUCUUUUUAUCAAACUCAUUUUUUUUUGUAAAUGUUACUCUUUUGAUCAAUAAAUAUGAAAUUUCAUCAAAAAAAGGACAUGCUACCUACUUAAAACCAACAGAUAAAAAAACAUUUCAAAUAUUUGAUCCAAAAAAAAAACUUUUCAAAUAAAGAUCACUUGGUACUUAUCAAUUAAAACUAAUAUAAAUUUUUCUCAAAUAAUUAUUGGUUGGUAUUUUAACUCCUCAGCUUAUAACGCUACUAAAACUUAAUAAUCGUUACCAAAUAUAUAUCAUUUAUUUGGAAAAUCAAGACUAACAUAUGUUUAAGAUUUAAUUCUAACAAAAUAACUAAUUCGUAACUAAUUUGAAUCUAUACCCCCCCCCCCCCCCCCCCUCCCCCCUCCAAAAAAAAAAUCUUUAAAUUGAAAGUCAAAGUUCUUCUUUUCAACCAAACUAAGACUAACAAUAAUUUUUUGUAAAAAAUUUCUAAUGACUAGUAAUAUUUUUAACCAAAAUGUAUUUCAAAAUAUACAAGAAAUUCUUGGGUAUUUACUAGGGCUGGACAAAUAAACCGAACCCGAAAACCCGAACCGAACCCAAUCCGAUAAAAAUGAAUCCGAACCGAUCCGAAUCCGACAUAAAAACCGAAUGGAUCUUGUUUUAUGGUAUUUUGGGUUAUGGGUAUUAUCCGAACCGAACCCGAACCUAAAUGGAUACCCGAUAGAACCCGAAACAUUCAAAAUUUCUAAAAGAACUUGUACCAAACAUGAUCUCAAUUCCUAAUAUGUAUUCAAAAUAAAUUGAACAUCUAAAAUAAUUAUCUAUUAUAUGAAGAUUGAUGGUUGAAGGUUGAAGUUUUUAGAUUUGAGUUUUGUUUUCAUUGAAUAAUGUUUUUCAUUUCAUGAUAACUUGAUUUUCGUUUCGUGCUUUCCUUUAUUUGGAUUUCUUUCGAUCAAUAACUAUGUUUACUUUUCACUUGAUUUUGAAUGAUCACAUUUGAUGUACCUUUCUUUUUUUUUGAAACGAUUUUAUUUAUGUUUUGGUUACAAAAUAAGUAGAAAUCAAGUAUUUUAAAACCAAAGAACCGAUUUUAGUUACUUUUUGGUUACAAAGUAGAUAUAAAUCAUGUACAUUUAAACCGAAGAAUCGAUUGGGACCCGAACCCGAAAGUACAUCGGGUUCUACCGGUUCUUUGAAGAUUUACUAAACCCGACCCGAACCCGACAGAACACGAACCGGUCCCGAACCGAAUUUUCAUAUAACCCGAAUGGGGCUGAUUUUGAUAAACCCGAAAAACCGAAACCCGAUUGGACUAAACCGAAACCCGAUUGGGACCCCGAAUGCCCAGGCCUAGUAUUUACUACUUGUUUGAGCCUACUCGCAACCAAAUUUUAUUUGAAAGAAGAAUUUUUUUCAGUUUGGAUUUUUCUGGAUUUGGAUUCAGAUUGAUUUUUUUCCUAACAACCCUUAUAAUAUAUAUCAUUUUAUAUUCUAAAUAUACAAUUUAAUUAAAUAAUAUUAAUUAAAACUUUUGUGAUUUAUAGAAUCAGAGGUUAAAAACUAACAAAAAAUUAUUUAGGAUUUUAGUUUUUUUAGUUGAGAGAUUUUUAGCCAAUCAUUUUUAGUUAAUUGCAUUUUCAUUAUACUAUUUUUCUCAACAACAUAAACAAGCGGAAAAUUAAUCAAGAAAUUUUGUAUGAAUUUUUAAUGAAUGAUUCUUUUAUCCCAACUAUCUUUAACUGAGAGACUUUUAAUUAAGAACACUAUUUUUACGGAUAAUCAUGCUAAAAUUAUAGUUUAUCAAGUAAAUAAAAUAUUACUAUAACAAAUCAUACUUCUUAAACAUGCAUUAUUAUAAUGAAAAAAUUAAAAAUAUAAAAUUUGACUAAAUAACUAUAAAAUUUGACUAAAAUAUCCAUAUGCCUGAAAAAUAAAAUGAUUCCUCAUUUUUAAUCAUUCUAUUUAAAGUUCUCUUUAAAUUAUAUUCCAGUUUACAUUUGGAGACCUUUAAUUUCACCUUGCAAUAUAUCUUCUAAAAUGUGUGAAAGCAUGUAGAAUCCCUUCAGAGCUGUCUACACAGAAAAUGAGCUGUUGGAUGGAACAAGAAGAUACUCCCUCCGUUUUAUAAUGUAAGUAGUUUUAGCUAAAAGCACAAAGAUUAAGAAAAUUAUUAUGUUUUAAAAAGUAUUGUAUAUUAAAUAGGUUAGAUAUAACUUAACCAAUCAAAAAUAAGUUUAUUUAAUUUGAUUGGUCACACUAUAUUCAAUAAAUGUAAAAGUUACCUAGAAAUAUGAAAACUACUUACAUUUUGAAACAAAAAAUUUUCCCUAAAACUACUUACAAUAUGAAACGGAGGGAGUAUAUAUUUAGGAAUAUGGGCUGAGCUCUUGGAACAUCCUCUGAAUUUUUAAUAAGUAUCCGUGAGAUUCAAGAAUGUAUUGCUAAUAAAUCUACGCCGGAUAUAGAGAAAUAAGAAAAAGCUUUUUUCUUCUUCUCUUUUUAAUCUUGAGAAUACAAGUUUUGUUUUUUUUCAAAAAAAAAAAAAAAGAGAAUACAAGUUUUGUCUAAGACUAUAAUCAGAUGUAACAUGUAUGUAUGUCCAAUGACGUGUGUUUAAUAUAACAACUUAUAAGAUUUUAACUGAUUUAUUAGAUGUAUGUAUGUUGUCAAAAACAAAAAAAAAACUGAUUUUGUUUAAAAAAAAAUAAAUAUAGACAUAUCAGAAAUAUCAUAAUUAUGCAGUAAAAAUAUAUUACGCAUUUGCAUAUUAAUAUUUUUCUUUUUAAUUAAAGAAACCUUAGAAACUGUCAUAAGUUUACAAAUGUUAUCGAAAGGCUAUAACUCUAAAAACUAUAUUCAAAUCAUAUUCUUAACAAGAAAAAGAGAUAGAAGAAUCUAAAUCCGGUAAGGUUGAACUGCACACGCGAACAUGAAGAUAACGUAAUGGACCAAUGAUAGAAUGACAAAUUAGACAACAUCCUUGGUUUCAUAUGAUUCCCAAAUGGACCCAUUCCCUACUUUUAUCCAUGUCUUUGAAUGCAUCUUUGCUAGUUGCUACCAAUAUUUACAUACGCGUGCGUGCGUGGAGGCUACUUUACUUGUUUUGGAUGCUAACUAGCUAGUAAAGGUAAUUGAAAACUUGAGAUCCCAAAAUCAACGUUUUAAUGUGGCACCACCACACCUUCUUUAAUUUACGACGCUCGUAUCAUCCAUGAAUUGGUUUAAGUCGUUCAAACUUACAUAUUUUUAUUGCUAUAUCGAUUAAAAUCCUUUGGAUGAGAUACCAUACAUUUUCAUGGUGACAACUAUAAUCUAGAAAUGUAGAUUAGAUGCAAGCAUUGGAUCGUUAUCUCAAAAUUACUUAACUAAACGUUCUGAGUGUAUAGAAUUACUCCGACGGGCAUUUGACAUACACAUUAAAACGCAUUUGUAUGUUUUAAAUUGAAAGGAAGUCACAAAACUUCACUAACUAGACCAAUAGAAUUCAGUUGUCUGUACAGAGAAGAAAGGAAAACUAAGUUCAUUGGUCCUUUUUCUAGAGUUUUUGGUAAGGCUAUUAUUGAAAUUAUUGACAUGAAAAAAAAAAUUAUUGACAUGAAAAAAAUACAAACGUGUGGAAUACAAAAAUAGCUUUUAUGAAUAGUCCUGUAAUUGCUGACAAAAAAAAGAAUAGUCCUGUCAGAUAGACAUAAUAAUCAAGGACUAAUAAAAGUACACAAAGCCACAUUUAGCAGACUAUGUAAGGCCACGUAUGAGUUAGAAGGUAGCCUACACAAGCGGUUUUGCAAGCGUAUUAGUUUAUCAACAUUGGAUACAAUACAGGAAAGACGCAAAACGGACCACAACUUGUAUUUAGCUAUUCAUUGCUUAAAAUGCUCCCUAAUUCAUUAUGCCCUCUUCACUCCUCAAUAUACUUCCUAGCCAUCCCUAACUUUACUGUUAUGGUUCUCUUAAUACUGUCAUGGCAUAUUUUAGGUAUUUUUUUCUAUCUUGAUGGAUAUAUUUGUGGCAAGUCAUGUUUGCCUUGUCCUUGCUGUUUGUAUGUUUCUUUAGAAGAAUGAAUCACUUUCUCUUGAAUCUUUUUGGGCCAGACCUCUGAAUUUUGACUCAUUUUGUUCUGAGAAUGCAGAAUUCGAGCCUGGCCUUACAUAGUCUGCUAAAUGUGGCUUGAUGAAUUACAGUUAGCUGGAAUGGAUGGAGAUACCGAAUUUGGUCCAAGGAUCAAAUUAGCUUUGUUGAUUACAAAAUCUUGAGAAAAGUAAGCAUGGCUCUAGAUAUGCCAUGUUUGACACAUGGGAAGCGUCCCGGUGACGUUAUAAUUACUUGCGAGUUACUAGAAGUUUCGGGCAGAAAAAGAAACAGUGUUGCGUUAAAACAACUGAUGAAUGAGAUAGAAUAUGCAUUGGAUGGUGUUGGAGUCGGAUAUCCUCGGAUAUUGAGGCUCUGUCGUUGCGUUUCCAAAUUGUUGCAAUCAGAAUUCAGAAAGCAGGAGAUGAUAAUCUCAUUUCGUAACACUUCAUAUUUUGCUGGUUUGUUUUGUAAAUAUGGCACAAUGACUACUACACUAGUAGUACAUCACCAAAAGGUUUUCUCUGUCACAAUUUAGUUUUUUUUUUUGGGGAGUUCUGUAUAUGUGAAUAGGUGAGGCUAUAACUAAUUUUGGUUGCUCUCAUUCAAACUUAGAUUGUUUUGUCAUCUUUCAUGUAGUGUUUACGUUUGCAUUUUGUAAAAUUGUUUUAUGAAAAAAAAGACUGAAACUCUUUGUUCACCAUAAAAAAAAAAAAAAAAACUGAAUUCACCAUGUCAUGCCUACAUUUCAAGAUACCAGGUAUACCUAUGUAUAUUAAUGAUGGCAAGACCUUAUUCAUGCAAGACUUUAAACGUUAAUAAUUGGUUGACACCUGUGUGCACAGUUGUACAUAAGUAAAAAUGGUGUAGGCCACUCACUCUUAUCCCCAUCUUACAUUGAAUCUAGAAUCUAGAUUUUGGAGUGAUGUAUUUACUUUAUCUGCUACCAUAUUGAUAUUACGUAGUAAUGUUCUCUUCUUUCCACAUUUGUAUGACAAGCCUUUUAAAUAGUUCAAAUAUCAUUUCAGUUACACCCAACUGUCAAUUGCAGGUAAUACCUCAAAUCUGAAUGUAAACUCAUUGUGUCACUCACACACAGAUAGAUUCAUCAAGACUAUGUUCAAACAAGAGAUUCCAUUACACAUGGGUAUACAUAUAUAACUCACAUGAUAUGUAUGUACAUCAGAUUACCCCAUCCCCGGUCUAAAUCUGCUGAAGAAUCAACCGUGACGCAGCCUAGUAAAAGCAGUAGCUGUACACAACAACAAACACACCCAAACCCAACCAAAAGAAAAACAGCCUCUAUACCAAAGAAAA